AUGCCACGUGCUGAUGGUCCCUUUAAGGUGUUAGAGAAAAUAAAUGAUAAUGCAUAUAAACUUGAGCUGCCUGCAGAUUUUGGGGUUAGUCCCACUUUUAACAUUGCAGAUUUGAAGCCUUAUUUGGGUGAGGAAGAUGAACUUCCGUCGAGGACGACUUCAUUUCAAGAAGGGGAGGAUGAUGAGGACAUCAAUACAAUUGUUACACCCACAGCCCCUACUGUUACAUAUACUGGACCAAUUACUAGAGCUCGCGCACGCCAAUUAAAUUAUCAGGUACUUUCGUUUCUUGGUAAUGAUUCUAAUGUCAUGAGAAUAUGA
rnacentral:rRNA from 1 species